GUGUUAAAAUCUGAAAUUUGGGGCACGUGUAAUGGUUGUUGAAAUUCAGAGAUGAUGGCUGUCCCGUUUCCAAAUUCAACAUUUGUAAUUGUUUAGUGUAUUUGCGGAAACAAUGGCGAAGAGGUUAGCUAGAGGUGGAAGAAGGGACGAGGUACCGUCGCGGUCGAUUUUGACUCGAGCUGUGGACUCUGUAUUUGAUUUCGUCCGAUUGGCAGAGUUUGAGAUCCUCUUCGUCUUCUUUUUUGUUGUAGCAUAUGUCAUUUUCAAGGAUCUGACUUCAAGGCCGGAGUAUAAUGAGAUCUUGGUGAAGAAGCCAGAUUGGUGGCCUUACUAGAGUGUACCUGCAGGGUGUUUUCUUUGUCUAGUGGAAGAGUAUGAGUUGCUCUGUACAUUUAUUUCUUAGUGUUUAUCCAGAUCUGUGUGCAUCUUUUCUAAAAAGUGUACGUCUGGAUCUGGUUUUGAGAUUUCUUAUUCUUCCCUUUUCUUUUCCUUAAUGUGAGUCAGAUGUUGAAAUCAGGAUUUAUGGGUAAGUUGUAUUGUGUCAUACUGGAAUUCCAUCAAAUGCAUAUUGCAUCUGAUCAUACGUGUAUUACAUGGGAAAAAU
rnacentral:misc_RNA from 1 species